GCUGAGACAGGCUGUCUAGACAUUGCAGAUGUGGACAGAUGUUGGGUCUGUAAUUUAUAACAACGGCCUCCAGAAGGCAAUUCCAAUUUGUUUCGCACUAGGAACUGAGCCCAGGACCUCCAACAACACACCAGUCAAGAACUCUACUACUGAGUUAUCCUCCCAACCUCUAGUAUGGGUAGAGGGAUCCUGGAAGACAGCCCGGAGGAAGAAGUCACCAUUUGCUACAGAGGGGACAAAUGGCUCAGAAUGGCAAUUCAGGGCCCCCAGCUUUCUGUUUUUAGGUACGCGUUCACACUGCACACGGGGAGUGUGUGAGUGUGUACACACAAGUAUACCCUGGACCAGGGCUCAGACCCCUCCAUCGUUCCCAACCUGCAGCUGCUCCCAGAGCCGACUCUGUGAUUUGUAGUGCAGGCCACCCAGGGACUUUAAUCUUCACCGUGACAAAUGCAAUAAAAGGAACAAUUUGGAGAUCAGAG
rnacentral:lncRNA from 1 species